ACAGUUUGUUAAAAUUUCAAACAUGAAUUCAUCCAUUCAAUAUCUAUAUAUAACUUAAAUAGUUCAAGUGCACCACUUUAAUCCGUCCUGAAACAUCUGGUCAUCAGAAAUGUGAAAAGGCAAUGAUUGCAAUGUUUUCCUAUGUUUGAACACUUGAUUGUUAUGUAUACAUACAUACAUGGAUACAUACAUACAUACAUACAUA
rnacentral:misc_RNA from 1 species